UAUUAUCGACCCGCAACCGGAAGCGACACUCGGGCGUGCGUAUCUGAGACUUCAUCAAACCAUGGGCGCAAGGCCUUGGGGACUUUCAUCGAACAGCUUGGGGUGGCGCAGCUGCUGGCCAAGGUGUUGCCUGAGACCUCCCCACCCUGAUGGUGCUGAUGUUGUUCUCUGCAUAGAAAAGGCAUUAGCUCAGUCUGGGGUGUCUAGGGAAUAUGUUCGUUACAUCAACGCACAUGCUACAUCCACACCGGCUGGCGGCCCGGAGACCUCAAAGAGUAUAAUGCUCUUAUUCAUUGUUUUGGCCAAAAUCCUGAGUUGAGAGUGAACUCCACAAAAUCCAUCAUUGCUCACCUACUUGGAGCAGCUGGUACUGUAGAAGCUGUUGCUCCACUACAGUUACAUCCUGCCAAACUUCAUUUUCUGGUCAAUGGUUCAAUCCACAUAUGAUGACAAAGAUUCCAGUGAUGAAGAUGUCGGUGAAGCUUUUGCGGGUGACGAUGACAGU